AGCGAACGCUGGCGGUAUGCUUAACACAUGCAAGUCGAGCGCGAAAGUGACUUCGGUCAUAAGUAGAGCGGCGGACGGGUGAGUAACACGUGGAUAAUCUGCCUUUAGGACUGGGAUAACCCUGGGAAACUAGGGCUAAUACCGGAUAAGACCACAGGUUCCAUGGAACCAGGGGUAAAAGGCGGCCUUCGGGCUGUCGCCGAAAGAUGAGUCCGCGUCCCAUCAGGUAGUUGGUGAGGAACGGCUCACCAAGCCGAAGACGGGUAGCCGACCUUAGCGGGUGAUCGGCCACACGGGGACUGAGACACGGCCCCGACUCCUACGGGAGGCAGCAGUGGGGAAUCUUGGGCAAUGGGCGCAAGCCUGACCCAGCAAUACCGCGUGAGGGAUGAAGGCC
rnacentral:rRNA from 1 species